GUGAGACUUAAGAGAUAAAGUUUUAAAAUAAGAAACUAAUGAAACCAAAAUAGAGGGCCAAAGCGACUUCCGCUAAAAAAAACUAGGGGGUAAGCAUGAAAUUAUCCCUCCCUCACUCCCUAAGUGUGUUGUUUAAACAAGCUAUAAGGCCAAAAUUUCGAGAAAGAAAAAAAAAACCUUAUGCUUGUUUUGUUUCAAAAAGUAAAAAGCAAAAAGCAAAAAAAAAACAUUCUCUGUUUCUGGGCAUAGUUCUUGGGUCUGGCCAAGGUCUGCCAGCCAUCCACCAUCUUUAGCAACGGUGACCACCACCGGUGGUGGCUUGAAAGACACUCAAAGCCCGAUCUAAACCCCUUUUUCAAAUGGAAACAGAUCUAAGACCGAAAAAAAUGACCGAGCUCCUAAACUCUUUCAAAGGGAACAGCUUCUCGACUUUCAACCUCCUCCGCUGUGGCUCUAACCGGAUCCCCAAGGAUCCGUCGGCUUUGGACCGGAGAAGCGUACGCCGACUAAGUCGACACUGAGCAGCAGGUAAAAACCUUAUCUUUUUUUGUAUUUGAGUAAUAGAUUCAAAAUAAAAUAAGGAGUAAAAAAUAAGAACAAAGGAUGAACAAAAUAAACCACCUUCAAGUGUAUUUGAUUUCUUUGUAUUAAAAUUUUGUCUCUCUAUCUGUAAAAAAAAAUACAUUCAUCUUUCGUGGCUUUUAUAGCCGAAAGGAAAAUAAGAAAAAUAUACAUUUUGUUCUUUUUUGCUGUCAUUUCUGUUAUUUUUUUCUUGUCCUUUUUGUUGUUGUUUGCUGCUGUCUUUUUCUGCAGAUACGAAGGUAGGGGUUAGCUGGGCGUACGGAGGCCGUACGUGGGAGCGCCGACGUGGAGGUGGAGGCGUGCCUGGGAGUGGCAGCAACAGCUGAUGUCAGAUGAAAAAAUAGAAGAUACAGAUCAGGAAAUGUAUACUGGUGAUGAAGAGUCGUAUGGACUAGAUGAUACUGAGUCGGUAACACCUAGCAUAAAUUCUGUAAGAAAUCAACUACCUAGAGUUAACAGAGGAAAUGAUAGAGAUGAUUAUGAUAUAUUAAGAGUGAUAGUUGAUGCCUUACAAAUAGUAGUGGGAACUAUUCCUGCUAUGACCUCUGCACUUGUUCAAAGACGGGCCCCGAUAAAAGAAUUGAAGAAUUAUGGUGCCACAGAAUUUAUGGGUCUGAAAGGAGCCGAUCCAUCAACUGCUGAAAAUUGGAUGGAAUCGACUAAGAGAAUUUUACAACAAUUGGAAUGUACCCUUCGAGAGUGUUUGAUUUGUGUUGUAUCGUUGCUACAAGGGGAAACUUAUCUAUGGUGGGAAUCAGUGGUACCACAUUUACCAGAAGAUCAGAUAACAUGAGACCUAUUUCAGAAGGAAUUUCAAAAGAAAUAUGUUGGAGAGAUGUAUACUGAAGACAAGAAGCAAGAGUUUUUAAUGCUGCAGUAGGAUGACAUGUUAGUUAUAGAUUAUGAGAGAGAGUUUUCAAGACUCAGCAAAUAUGCCUCCAAGUUUAUUCCAACCGAAGCAGAUAGUUGUAAAAGAUUUUACGGGGAUUGCGGGAUGAAAUCAAGGUACAGUUAGUAUCUCAUCGUAUUACUGAGUUCGUAGAUUUGAUUGAGCAAGCUAAAAUGGUAGAGCAAGUGUUGGGUCUUGACAAAAAGACUAAAAGUGCCAGGGUAACUGGGAAACAUGCGGGAACUACCAACUCAAAUCCGCAGCCAAAAAGAUCAAAAGAAUCUCAAGGAGGAUGGAGAUCUAGUUUUAGAUCUGAUAGAGGCGGUAGAAGCAGAGGGAGACAAACAACAGUAUCUAUUAGCAGUGUGAGAGGUCCUUCUCGGGAAAUAGAAAUUACAGACUGUCAGUGUAACCCCCUAAGCCGUCACCGGAAUAGGGCUACGAGGCAUUACCGGACUUAUACACAAACAUUUAUACAAAAUCGAGUCAUAAACUUUACAUUUCAAUGAAUUCUUAUCAAAUUUCAUCUUAAA